AAGCAUUUUAAGAUAGAAUUGAGAAUGAGGCUGACUAGAGCCCUCAAUAGUGCGUUCAGAAAGCCGAAGUACGCAGAGUACGACCCUACGAAGACUGGAGUAUCGCAUUACGUCAACUACACCAGUCAGAAGGGAAGAUGGAAUAUGAUGUGGGUCAUCAUCUCAUUUUGGUCCUCAAUUUACAUUGUCAACAAGUACACUUCUGUUCCAAAACCGCCCGGUGAUACCUCCAAAACAGACGAAUUUCUGGCACUGUUGAAGUGAAACCAGAUGGCAAUUCCGAAGGUGACGCUAACUGCGACUAAAUGUUACCACAGAUUAAGUCUCAUAACCAAAUACUACUGAACAAAUAAAACUAAAUGGAAUAACAAACACAUAUUUGGCUAUAGACUAUUUUGACAAUUUAAACUUUGAUCAACUGU